AAUAAAUUAAUUACACAUUUUAACACUCAAAUUUAAGUUGCGUUAGUGGGUUGGUACUAAUAGUGGCAUUCUCGCAUCACGGACAGCUGCUGGCUUCAGCAGGUACACAAUUGUCUCCCUUGUUCCAUUGUAGAUGUUAAUAGUAAUGAGAUAAAGGAAAAUAAGCCAGUGAGGUUAUUACAGGGUCACCAUGGGUCGGUACUGACAGUGGCGUUGUCGUCUGACGGAUAGCUGCUGGCUUCAGCAGUUGCAGAGUUCUGUUGUGUUCCACUUUGUGCAAAGCUGAAAUGAUCUUACUACCCGAUGACUCUACAGGCCCAUUAUUGAUGCUGUACACUGCACUGUGUGCCCUCCCUGAGAACUUUCUGCUGAAAGUUGUGUGUCUUGUUUUUUGACACCCCGCAACAGCCGGUGCUGGUAUGUUCAUGCAGAGACACAGGAGCCGGAAGUUUUGAACCCCAAUGGGCAUUAUAGUGAGACCGAUCUGCACACAUACAUUUGGCUGAGCUGCCUUACGGCCUCGGGACCUUUGGUUGGAAUUGUCCACCUCUGUGUACAAGUUGUACAUACUAGAGUGUGGGAAGGAAGGCUGGAGACGGAGGUGUUAAAGAAUAUCAACACGAAGUAUGACGGGUUACCGUCCACCAAUGACACUUUCACAGCCACUUUAAACGAUCUGCAGCAAAAUCAAAAAUGUUGUGGUUGGAGAAACGUGACAAAUUUUGAGAUGACGGGAAACCAGUGGAAUAGAACUUUGUCAAACGGAAGUGCCGCCAUCAUACUGGAAGCGUGCUGUAAACCGGCCAACGAGACGGAGACGUUCAGAUGUGUUACAGCGCCCUCUGUUGACAACUCCUAUGUAAAUAAGUUUUUUGACACCCCGCAACAGACGGUGCUAGUAUGUUCAUGCAGAGACACAGGAGCCGGAAGUUUUGAACCCCAAUGGGCAUUAUAGUGAGACUGAUCUGCACGGAUACAUUUGGCUGACCUGCCUUACGGCUUCGGGACUUUUGGUUGGAAUUGUCCACCUCAGUGUACAACACGUACUAAAGUGUGGGAAGGAAAGCUGGACACGGAGGUGUUAAAGAAUAUCACCACUAAGUACGACGGGUUACCGUCCACCAAUGACGCUUUCACAGCCGCUUUAAACGAUCUGCAGCAAAAU